CAAAAACCUAUCCAGAUCCAUAUAAAAGUACAUCAUGUAUGUUUUGUGGUUUUGUACUCAAAAGUACAUCAUGUAUGUUUUGUGGUGGUGUGUGGUGGGGUGUGGAGGUGGUGUAGUGGGGUGUGGAGGUGGUGUAGUGGUGUGUGGAGGUGUGUAGUGGGGUGUGGAGGUGGUGUAGUGGGGUGUGGAGGUGGUGUAGUGGUGUGUGGAGGUGGUGUAGUGGUGUGUGGAGGUGUGUGGUGGGGUGUGGAGGUGGUGUAGUGGGGUGUGGAGGUGGUGUAGUGGUGUGUGGAGGUGUGUAGUGGUGUGUGGAGGUGGUGGAGUGGGGUGUGGAGGCGUGUGGAGGUGUUGUAGUGGGGUGUGGAGGUGGUGUAGUGGGGUGUGGAGGGGGUGUAGUGGGGUGUGGAGGUGUGUAGUGGUGUGUGGAGGUGGUGUAGUGGUGUGUGGAGGUGUGUAGUGGUGUGUGGAGGUGGUGUAGUGGUGUGUGGAGGCGUGUGGAGGUGGUGUAGUGGUGUGUGGAGGCGUG
ensembl:lncRNA